rnacentral:rRNA from 1 species
AUGAAGUUGAAAUCGCUAGUAAUCGCGGAUCAGCAUGCCGCGGUGAAUAUGUACCCGGGCCCUGUACACACCGCCCGUCACACCCUGGGAAUUGGUUUCGCCCGAAGCAUCGGACCAAUGAUCACCCAUGACUUCUGUGUACCACUAGUGCCACAAAGGCCUUUGGUGGUCUUAUUGGCGCAUGCCACAGUGGGGUCUUCGACUGGGGUGAAGUCGUAA